CGCCGCCUCCCGCCACCCCUUCCCGCCCGACAGCGCCGCCGCCUGCCCCGCCAUGGGUCGACAGAAGGAGCUGGUGUCCCGCUGCGGGGAGAUGCUCCACAUCCGCUACCGGCUGCUCCGACAGGCGCUGGCCGAGUGCCUGGGGACCCUCAUCCUCGUGAUGUUUGGCUGUGGCUCCGUGGCCCAGGUUGUGCUCAGCCGGGGCACCCACGGUGGUUUCCUCACCAUCAACCUGGCCUUUGGCUUUGCUGUCACUCUGGGCAUCCUCAUCGCUGGCCAGGUCUCUGGGGCCCACCUGAACCCUGCCGUGACCUUUGCCAUGUGCUUCCUGGCUCGUGAGCCCUGGAUCAAGCUGCCCAUCUACACCCUGGCACAGACGCUGGGAGCCUUCUUGGGUGCUGGAAUAGUUUUUGGGCUGUAUUAUGGUAAGCAUUCCCCACCCUGUCCUCCUCCACUACCCCCGUCCCUCUGUUCAGGACCUGCUGGCACCAGGCCUUUUGAUGACAGACGGCUAGGGCCUGCCCAGGCCCCGGGCUCAUGACUCACUCAUUCACGCACAGGGCCAAGGUAGGGGGCACGAGGGGAAAGAAACAAGUUGGGCAAUAACAGAGUCUCAGGCCCUCCACCCCACCCCGCGUCACCCCCUCUGCCUGCUGCAAUACAGCAGUAUUGCUACUUACCCGUAACUCAUGGGAGGGUGGGGAGGGCACACCUGAGAGGGAAGUCUGGGCUCAGGCCUCUCCCCCGACUCACUGUGGGUCUAAUCUGUCACCAGAUGCAAUCUGGCACUUUGGCGACAACCAGCUUUAUGUUUCGGGCCCCAAUGGCACAGCCGGCAUCUUUGCUACCUACCCCUCUGGACACUUGGAUAUGAUCAAUGGCUUCUUUGACCAGUUCAUAGGCACAGCCUCCCUUAUCGUGUGUGUGCUGGCCAUUGUUGACCCCUACAACAACCCCGUCCCCCGAGGCCUGGAGGCCUUCACCGUGGGCCUGGUGGUCCUGGUCAUUGGCACCUCCAUGGGCUUCAACUCCGGCUAUGCCGUCAACCCUGCCCGGGACUUUGGCCCCCGCCUUUUUACAGCCCUUGCGGGCUGGGGCUCUGCAGUCUU
rnacentral:sRNA from 1 species